UCCGAAUUAAAUGGCGCAUGCGUAUUAUGAUUUGUAACAAGGAAGUGCAGUCACAGAUUGAAGGUAACGUUUCUAGCUACGUGCUGCCGCUCAUUUGUUUGGAUUCGAGCUUUGUGAUGGCAGUGGACUGGAUUGGAUUUGGCUAUGCUGCAGCCAUUGCCAUUGGAGGAUUUAUUGGAUACAAGA